rnacentral:rRNA from 1 species
AUUGAACGCUGGCGGCAUGCCUUACACAUGCAAGUCGAACGCCACGCUAGGGGAGUGGCAGACGGGUGAGUAACGCGUGGGAAAAUACCCUUUCCUGCGGAAUAGCUCGGGGAAACUGGAAUUAAUACCGCAUCCGCCUCACGGGGGAAAGAUUUAUCGGGGAAGGAUUGGCCCGCGGUGGAUUAGCUAGUUGGUGGGGUAAAGGCUUACCAAGGCGACGAUCCAUAGCUGGUCUGAGAGGAUGAUCAGCCACAUUGGGACUGAGACACGGCCCAAACUCCUACGGGAGGAAGCAGUGGGGAAUAGUGGACAAUGGGCGCAAGCCUGAUCCAGCCAUGCCGCGUGAGUGAUGAAGGCCUUAGGGUUGUAAAGCUCUUUCACCGGAGAAGAUAAUGACGGUAUCCGGAGAAGAAGCCCCGGCUAACUUCGUGCCAGCCGCCGCGGUAAAAC